UUUGGGCUUAGACCUCAGUGAGUGAGUCUCUCUAAUCUCUACCCCAAGAGGUACUAAUUCCUUUAGAAUAAAUCAAAACGGGAAGAAAGGCUUCCGUGAGUGGAUAUUACCUGCUUGAAAAUCCCUCAGAUUUCUUCUGGUUUGGGAAAUAUUGUUUUCUCUUCUUCCAGCACUGCCUGUAUUAAAAAACCUCUUUUUGGUAACCAAGGGCUUUCAGGGUAAACUGCAACCUCAGGUAGAUUUCCUAAUCCAAGAAGCAGAUCAGUAUGGUUCAGUUUAUUGAAACUUGAUAGAUCUGAGAGUGGUCCACUUAGGUCCAGACAUGGAAGAGUUAAAACAGUGACGUCCCACAUGGCUGCAACCUGGGCAGGCUUGAUGUCAACAUACAAGCAGCAGCACAAAAUCGAUGUUUUCUUUUCCAAAGGGUUUUUUCCAAUUUGUACUCAGCCCAGAAGUUUUUCCCAACGCAAAUCUAAAGCCAAGAAAAUUCCUCCCAGAGACACAGUGCUGCUCAGACAGAUGGGGCAGUCAGGGUAAGAGAGCCUCUCAGAGCAUGAAGCCAUCCCAGGGUUCCGAGGAAGCCAACCUCGCAGGCCUGCAUCUCAGCAUCUAUAUCCACACGGAUGUGUGCAGUAGCCUGGAGCAACCAGGAGAGCUAGAGCUCCUGAGCACGGGGCCUGCAAAGUACGGACUUGGAGCAAUUAAACCAGAGAGAAAGAGCCCCUUGUCCUGUUAGAUUUGAAGCCCAAGCAAAAGGGUAAGCCAUCCAGGACAGACUGGAGGGCGACCAGGGAGUGUCCCGUGGGCACAGCAGAUUGAUUGACAGAGAAAGAAAGAAGACACUGUCAACAAUGAGAAGGGGCUGAAACAUUUCCCACAGCCCCGUCUGGCUAAGGUUUCACCAGCCAUUGGUGUGAUGGGCUUGGAAGUAAAUACGGGAGUCACUUUCUAUUUAUUUGUCCUUGGUGCAGUCACGCUGGAGUUACUGAUUCGAGAGAUUAUUCCAUAGCAUGGGACUGGCCACAGCAUGUCAUUUAAUCAGGGCCAUUCUGCAUGUAGAUUUGACGACUUUGAAAGCUCAUUCCUCUCCCAGGCGGGCACGUCUCUGGGCCUCUGCUGAGUGGAGGCGAAAUUGGAUCAUCGUAGAUGACAGGAGAAUGCAGGUUCUGGACCUGGAAUCAGAGCAAACUCUGUUGGCACACGCUGCUGCGGAGAAGGAAGUAGCAGAGCCAGACGGAGGGACCUCCCGAAGCUCACACAGCCUCUAGCCUUGAGUGAACACUUUUUUCUCUUCCGCUGGCCUUCGCCUCCUUGCUUUUCAGCUGACCAGCAGCCCUGCCUGGGAGGACGAAUGGAAAGGAACCUUCCAGAGUGAGCAUGCCCUUUGCCUUUGGGGAAAAAAAAAAACCAAACGGGUUUGCAGAGGAUCCUCCAAAAAGCAGCCUCCAAAACAAGAGGGGGGGGCUUCAGCAAAGGCCUGCCGGCUGAACUUCCUUCCACAGAAAGUGGAAACGGGGUUCCCCAGAUGCUGGGGGGCCAACUCGCCGGCUUCUCCCUGUCCCAUCGCCGAUAGCAAAAGUUAAUGCCUUUGUGUGUUAAGGUCUUAUGACAAAAGUUAAAACGAACUGGGACACAUAAAAACGUACUGCUUGCAGCUUUAUUCGUGAAGAAUUAAUAGCUCAAGAAUUAAAAUGCUAUAUCUGGUACACAGACUAGAUAUUCUAGCACCUCCUCUAGAAAUUGAAGUCCUACCCUGAGUCAUAAAACUCAGGCAGGAAAAGGAAGGCUUAUGUGUUCUAAGGGGACAAACAGGAUCCAGGAGCAUCGUCAGGACCCAAGAGAACCAUCCUAGAUGGGACGGGGCGAGGGUGGGGGGCUUUGCUGCCAGGCGGGUCCCUCCCCUCAGAAGGAAGACAGAAGCCAUCCGGCCACAGUCUUGCCAGGAGGGAAGGCCACAGCUUUCCUCUGAGCUGCGUCUCUGGCCCCGCUCAGGGUUUAAUAGAGCCUAGGCUGCUGCCUUGAAACCUGCCCAGGACACCGCUUUGUUUUAUGUUGUUUUGCAAUGAUCUUGAAUGCUCUUCAGGGUAUGAAGUCCUCUUGGGGUGCUGGAAAGGCUGGCAGUGCGGGGUGGGGUGUGGGUUCCACAGAAUCAGCCUCCAGAAAUCAGGCACUUGUCACUAGACACGCUGGCCUGGGCCCUGCAGAUCACUCGGCGUUGGAGGAGACCCUCUGGUUGACCAGACGUCCUCCGUGGCUGACACGUGCUAUAAUGUCAGAGACGGAUGGUCCUGCGGCAGCCUUUGCCUCUGGACCUCAGAGAGGGGCCUAGGCCCCUACUGCACUCAUGUCACCAGACAAAUGGAUGUGGGGCAGGGAAGGGGGGGGUGUUUAUGGUGCACUUUAUGGACUAGACACUGUAUGGAGUGGUUUACAGACUCUUUACAAGAACACCCGGAAGUAGGGCUUUUGUGCCCAUUUCAGAGAUAAGGAAACUGAGUCUCCCUCUGGUGAAGUAGCUCUGCCCAGGGACUUGGGGCAUGAUCUGCCAGCCCUUGAGCCCCUCACCCUUUACACUGUGCCACAGUGGCUCCUGUAUUGAAGACUCCUGCAGGGGCCCCCUGACAAUCUGCCAUCACAUGUGGUGGAUGGUUCACUACUCUCAAGUUUGCAAACUUAACGGCCAGCCCGGUAGUGGGUCGAAUUGGCUCCCCUCAAAAGAGAUGUUCAGGCAUUGAGCCACUCAUUAUUAUAGAAACACAAAUCAAAACCACUAGGAGGUAUCACCUUACACCCGCCAGAAUGGCCAUCAUCAAAAAGUCUACAAACAAUAAGUAUUGGAGAGGGUGUGGAGAAAA